GCCCUUGUGCCAAGCAGCCGCGGUAAUUCCAGCUCCAAUAGCGUAUAUUAAAGUUGUUGUGGUUAAAAAGCUCGUAGUUGGAUCUCAACAGCCUUGAAGCGGUUAACUUUGUAGUUUUACUGCUUUAUAGGCUGUGCUUUUGCUGGAGGUUUAGGGGUGCUCUUGAUCGAGUGUCUCUGGAUGCCAGCAGGUUUACUUUGAAAAAAUUAGAGUGCUCAAAGCAGGCUAAAAUGCCUGAAUAUUCGUGCAUGGAAUAAUAGAAUAGGAUGUCGAUCCUAUUUUGUUGGUUUUCGGGACUCGACAUAAUGAUAAAUAGGGACAGUCGGGGGCAUUUGUAUUCAAACGACAGAGGUGAAAUUCUUGGACCGUUUGAAGACAAACUACUGCGAAAGCAUUUGCCAAGAAUGUUUUCAUUAAUCAAGAACGAAAGUUAGAGGUUCGAAGGCGAUUAGAUACCGCCCUAGUUCUAACCAUAAACGAUGCCAGCUAGCGAUCUGCCUGCGUUUUUACUGUAGACUGGGCAGGAAGCUUCCGGGAAACCAAAGCAUUUGGGUUCCAGGGGAAGUAUGGUUGCAAAGCUGAAACUUAAAGGAAUUGACGGAAGGGCACCACCAGGAGUGGAGCCUGUGGCUUAAUUUGACUCAACACGGGAAAUCUCACCAGGCCCGGACACUGGAAGGAUUGACAGAUUGAUAGCUCUUUCUUGAUUCGGUGGGUGGUGGUGCAUGGCCGUUCUUAGUUGGUGGAGUGAUUUGUCUGGUUAAUUCCGAUAACGAACGAGACUCUGUCCUGCUAAAUAGUUUCUACUUCUCUUUUGAGUAGAAAUUUCUUCUUAGAGGGACUGGUGACUCUUAGUCACACGAGAUUGAGCAAUAACAGGUCUGU
rnacentral:rRNA from 1 species